rnacentral:rRNA from 1 species
GAGUUUGAUCUUGGCUCAGAUUGAACGCUGGCGGCAGGCCUAACACAUGCAAGUCGAGCGGAUGACGGGAGCUUGCUCCUUGAUUCAGCGGCGGACGGGUGAGUAAUGCCUAGGAAUCUGCCUAGUAGUGGGGGACAACGUUUCGAAAGGAACGCUAAUACCGCAUACGUCCUACGGGAGAAAGCAGGGGACCUUCGGGCCUUGCGCUAUCAGAUGAGCCUAGGUCGGAUUAGCUAGUUGGUGGGGUAAUGGCUCACCAAGGCGACGAUCCGUAACUGGUCUGAGAGGAUGAUCAGUCACACUGGAACUGAGACACGGUCCAGACUCCUACGGGAGGCAGCAGUGGGGAAUAUUGGACAAUGGGCGAAAGCCUGAUCCAGCCAUGCCGCGUGUGUGAAGAAGGUCUUCGGAUUGUAAAGCACUUUAAAGUUGGGAGGAAGGGCAGUAAGUUAAUACCUUGCUGUUUUGACGUUACCGACAGAAUAAGCACCGGCUAACUCUGUGCCAGCCGCCGACCG